rnacentral:snRNA from 1 species
UAAGCCCUUGAACAGUCG